UGUGGCUCAGUGGUAACGAUCCUGACUUAGUAUCCAUAAGGACAUGGGCUCCAUCCCUGCUUGUUCAGUGGGUUAAGGAUCUGGCGUUGCCUUGAGCUGUGUGGUGUAGGUCUAAGAUGUAGCCUGGAUCCUGUGUUGCUGUGGCUGUGGUGCAGGCCAGGAGCUGCAGCUCUGAUUCAACCCCUGGCCUGGGAACUUCCAUAUGCUGCAGGUGUAGCCCUAAAAACACACACACACACACACACAAAAAAAAAAAAGAGAGAGAGAUGGAGAAUAUCUAUUUCUCAUUCUGGAGAUCAAGGAGUUUCCUCAAGGGUCAGAGAAAGGAGGGGCACCAGACCAUAGUACAUCCUGUCAACUUUCCAGAGACCCUUGUGCCAGAAUCCCAUCCUGGUAUACACACAGGAGGGCCAAAGUCAGACCAAAGCCAGAUGGAGCAAGAUAGUUGGCCAGAGAAAGCCCUGAAGGAAGGACUGCCUUCGUGCUCCAAAGCAUGGGUUGUUCUCUUCGUCUCUUGCUUUUUUCCUCUGGCUGUCUCUGAAUUUCUCUCUCCCUCUCCACCCCCCACCCUCAAUCCAUGGAGCCCGCCUGUGUUUAUGUUCUCUCCGCACCUGUCUUCUCUCUCUUCUCUCUUUAAAUAAGCACUUAUUUGCCUCACUACCCUCAGUCUCUUUGCUGAAUUCUUUCUUCAAAGGGACAAGGAUCUGGGGACCUACAUCAAGUGGUUGGGGUUCAGCUUUCUCACCUGACAGCCACCUGAGAACAAAAUGACCCAGUCAUAUAUAUACAUAUAUAUAUGUGUAUAUAUACAGAUAUAUAUACACAUAUAUACAUACACAUACAUACCCAUAUAUACACACACACACAUAGCCACAGCAACGUGGGAUCCGAGCCGCAUCUGCAACCUACACCCCAGCUCACAGCAACUCCGGAUCCUUAACCCACUGAGCAAGGCCAGAGUUUGAACCCAAAACCUCAUGGUUCCUAGUCCGACUCGUUAACUGCUGCACCACGAUGGGAACUCCUGCUUAUCCAUUCUAAAUGGAAUAGUUUGCAUUAUGAACCCCAAACUCCCAUCCAUCCCAUUCCUUCUCCCUCCACCUUGGCAACCACAAGUCUGUUCUCUUUGUCUAUGAGUCUGUUUCUGUUUUGUAGAUAGGUUCAUUUGUGCCCUAUUUUUGAUUGUACAUAUACAUGAUAUCAUACAGUAUUUGUCUUUAUCUUUCUGACUUACUUCACUUAGUUUGAGAAUCUCUAGUUACAUCCAUACUGCUGCAAAUUUACCAACCUUCCUAACUUGUAGCAAAAGCAAUAGUGUACAAAGGUUCAAGUAAAAGAAAUGAAGCGAAUCCACUAUGGAGUCAGAUUUGUUCUUCCCUAUUACAAAGAUCAGGUCUCAGGAGGAGCUCCUGAUCACUGGCCCAGGUCUCUCUGUGAUCGGAGCUGACAUGAGCGUCAAGCCUCGUGACUUCUGGGCUGAACUAUGUAGAAAUACAGCAGCCAUGGCCAGUCAUGUUUAUGUUCAGGGUCCCUCCUUUAAAGUUGCCUUCCACCAACAGGAAAUGAAGGGCCCCAAGGAAGAUUCUAAGAAAAAUCCUUGCUGAAAAAAACCACUGUGCACAGAAAGUCACUGCGUCAGAGAAAUUUUGGCAGCUGUUGUGACAUAUUGUGUAUCAUUGUGGGUCUUUAAAAAAAAGCUCGCUGUGAUAACAAGCAGUCUGUUGGAACAGCUGCCAAGAAAUGUUCAGGUUAAUAAUGUCUUCUUUUUUAAUGAAGAGUAUGCUUCUCUGCAUGCCCACCUCCCUGGCUCAAAGACAGGGAGCUGAGGAAGCUCAAGUUCAGGGUCCUGUGCCCACGGGAAGAGGAAACCAGACGGGUCUUCCUUUUAGACCCUGCUGUGCACCUUAAGGAUUUCUUUGUAACAUUGCUUAUUCACAGCGCUUAGGUGAGGAGGUGGGGAGUGAGUUAGGGCUUUCUGGCCCAUUGAAGAAAGAAGUUGGAAGAAAAGGGCUAGCAGCCUCCUUCUCACCCCACACUCCAUUCUCCAUGCUCCGUGAGAAAAACAGCACAAAGCUUCAGCAUCGUUUCACUGCUCCCUCCUCAGCCUCAUCUAAAGGAUUGUAGGAAAGACAGGACGGAAGAUGUACGUCCUGGGAGACGUAUUUUAUGUUCCUCUUCCUGGCAGACUGGCUGUAUGUUCGGGGACUCAGGACUUAACUUCUCAGUCUUCCUUUCCUCUGGGAGAAACAAUUUCUACCAAGUUUGGCAACUUUAACCAUUUACUGAAUCCUUCAAACAGAGCUGAGUUCUAUCAAUUAGAAGGUAAGAACCCACAGAAUAGGGAGAGAAAGCCAAUCACCAGCCAGAGGGGAUUUUACCGUAAUUCUUAGAAUAGCGAAGUCCAUAUUUACAUAUCCCCAAAGGGAUAACAAUUCCCCCAUCACCAAUGCCUCUUUACCCUGCCAGAUUGAAACCCAGUUCUCUGGUGAGCUCCACUUUAAAUGAAUAAAAGUCCGUUUAAGGUAUUAUUACAGAGACUUUAAAGAAGUAGCACACCAUUUCUGUGAAAAAUGUUUGUCAGUUCAGUUUGACAGGUUUCAGAAUGGAGUAAACUAUAGAAUCCUUUGGGGAGCUAGUUUUAAAUGCUGAUUCCUGAACUGUCAACACCCAGAGAAUGAUUUAGGAGGUCUGGGGAUGUUCCUGAAAUCUGCAAUUGUGUUCAGUACCCGCAGAUAACUCUGAUAGAGGAGUUCCAGACUGCACUCUGAAAAUAAUAAUAUAAACUGUUAAAAGACAAACUGGAGCAUAUUAAAAAUGUUAAGAGCUUAUCUGAGCAAAAAUCAGUUUGAAUCAGGGAGCAUCCAGUCUGGCAGAUAGAAAGCACCUCCAAGGAUCUGUACAAAAAGAAAAAUUUUUAUAAGCAGAAGGGAGUGGGAACAAGGAAGCUAUGAAAUGAAGCAAGACCCUGUGGUCCUUCCUCCCAUGUCCUUUUAUUUUUCUGGAGAAAAAACUUUCACCAAAGAAUAAGUUUAAUCAGAGAAGCAAGAAAAUGCAGAAGAAAAGGAAAACAGUCAAAUGAGACCAACUAAUAAUAAAAUCACUAAGCAAAGUCAAGUACUUUCAGUUCCUCCUUAGGGGCUAUAGAUCGUGUUCGGAACCACGUCCUGCGAGCUGUCUUGUAGAUACUGAAACCCCCACUACGUGAUGACCAGGACAUAAGCUGCCACAAUUCCAAGAACUGGCCUCAAGGAAAUGGGAAGAAACCAACCCUGGAACUGAAGAUGAACUGUACCUAAAACAAGGUGAUGCUGCUCCGACUACCAUGUAACCCACUUCGAAAUGACUGUCAGAGCUGACUAUGCUAUUUCUGCAUGUAGCACCCACCUAUAAACGCUCUUGCCCACUGAUUGUCCAUGCAGGGGUCGGGAAACCCGUCAGCCUUUAGACAGAAGUCUGCCUCCCACCCUGGUUGGCAGGCUCCAAAAUAAAACCAACCUUCUUUUUGACCAACCUUCCCCUUUUGUUGGCUUUAGAACGAUGAGCAGCCAGAACCCCUUUCAUUAACUGUUACAUGCUGGGAAAAGGCUGGUUGAUUAUGGCCAUGUUACUUUCUUUAGGGAAUGGCAGGGGCCUGUUGGGUAGAUUACCUACCUAGUGCUCAUCCAAGCAAGUUCUGAGUGACUACUUUAAGGUUCCUUUUUUCUUAGAGACAAAACUAUAAUGAAAUAAAGUCAUGAUUUGGUCACUGGGGUCUUAGCACAAGUGACUCCAUUUUGGGCCUGUUUGUCUUGGUGGCAACAAAAUACAGGCGAGCUGAGUACAUGAAGGAUUGUAAUUUGGACAUUACUGAGGAUAGCGGUGCUCUAUCUGCACCUGUUGCAGAAUACAGGUGUGGCUGAAUUCCUUGAGAGGCAGCCCACCCACCCCAGAGUCUCUCCUAAGCUUUGCCAGGCAUGCCGAGUGUUCCCACUUUCAGGCUUCCUGCCCUCAGAAUGCAGGGUCCAUCACUCUGCUUAGCUCUGCCUUCUUAGCCCUUUUCUUCCAUGUGACCCAGUGCAAUCGUGCCCUAUUGCUGGACCUCCAUUCUCCUGCUGUAUAACACAGUGAAUGUAAACGUUCAUUGGAUUAUUUCCUUCUCCUUCCAUGUCUUUUCUUUUUUCUUUCACCAUUUUAUUUUUCUGACUUCAUCUCGCACUCAUUUAUAUGCAUCCAUCCCCUGGGUCUCCUUCCACAUUUUCCUCCAUACAGAAACAUAAAUGCAUAGAUGUAGGGCUUUUGCUGUUAUUUUCCUUUGGUAAGAAAAAUGAGAUCAUUCUCUCUAUAUAUAUAUUUUUUGCAACGUGCAUUUCUCACAUAAAAUAUAUCAGGGGUAUUCCUUUAGAUCAGUAGAUAUACAACAGGGAAUUCUUAGCUGCUCAAUAUUUUAUAACACAGACAUACUAACUUUACCCAUCCACCUCUUCUUGUAGGACAAGUGGGGUGUUUUUAACUUAUUUUUCUCCCACCACAGUGAUAAGUCAACAGCCUUAUUUAUAGCACUACUGUUUGUGGUGCAGCUUUUGCUAUUCCACUCUUGGAAAUGAGAUUAUUUUGAAAUCUUGGGGGAGGUGGCCUCUAAAUUGUAAUUGAAUUUUAAGAUUUUAAUAAAACUUUAAUUUUAGUGCCAGAUUCACAGUCACAUCAGAAGAACAGGAGCAUCCUCAUGUCUCUUCGUCUUUAUCAGUGUAACUUAGCAGAAUCCUAGGGGGCCUCCCCAGGACAGACCCUUCCCCCAGGUCCUCUGCUGUAACUCUUCUCUUAAGUACCCAGAUAACAGUAUCUGAUGCACAUCCCCUGAGUUAUUUUACAAAAUUCCAAAACCACCACCAAAUGGAAGACAUUAACUACUCAGUGAUCCUGUAGCCUCCUGACCUACUGGCCCUAAGGACUGAUCAUGUUAACUGCUUACUUCAUCAUCAACCAUUCAGAGAAUUGUGCACGAGCUGAUCACAUACCCUGGGACACCCCUCCUCAUCUGGCCUUUAAAGAUGCCUCCCUGGAAUUCCCUGGUGGCUUAGAGGGUUAAGGAUCCAGCAUUGUCACUGCUGUGGCUCAGGUCGCUGCUGUGGCAUGGGUUCGAUCCCUGGCCCGGGAACAUCUUCCUGCUGUAGUCAUGGCCAAAAAAAACCGCAAAAACACACAAACAAACAAAAAAAAAAAAA
rnacentral:lncRNA from 1 species